GACGAACGCUGGCGGCGUGCUUAACACAUGCAAGUCGAACGGAAAGGCCCUGCUUGCAGGGUACUCGAGUGGCGAACGGGUGAGUAACACGUGGGUGAUCUGCCCUGCACUUCGGGAUAAGCCUGGGAAACUGGGUCUAAUACCGGAUAGGAGCCAUUUUUAGUGUGAUGGUUGGAAAGUUUUUUCGGUGUAGGAUGAGCUCGCGGCCUAUCAGCUUGUUGGUGGGGUAAUGGCCUACCAAGGCGGCGACGGGUAGCCGGCCUGAGAGGGUGGACGGCCAACGGGGGGACGGAGAGGGCGCCAAGCCCCCGGGGGGGGGGGGAGGGGGGGAAGUUUGAACAAGGGGCGCAGGCUUGAGGCAGCGCCGCCGGGGGGGGGAGGGCGCCUUGGGGGUUGAAACCUCUUUUCGCUGGGGACAAUGCUUUUUGUGGCGGUACCUAAAAAAGAAGCCCCGGCAAACUCCGGC
rnacentral:rRNA from 1 species